AGUUUGCUGUGUAGAAAACAGAAGAAUGAAAGGGGAAAGGCCCAAUGGUGGGUUUGUUUUUGUAGGUUUUUUUUUUCUGUUUUUUUUUUUUUUUUUUUUUUUUUUCCGAGCUGUCACUGGGCUCCUGACCUGCCCCUGAACUCCACCCUGCCAGGCAGCCAACAGACAAGCUCUCUCUAAUUGACCCAGGCAAGAGAGGGGAGGGAUUGGAGGAGAAAGCUGGGAUAGGCAGGCCCUGGAAAGGUCACCUACCUGCUGGCUCCAGGCCAGUCUUGAAGGUGCCAGGGGUUCUGGCCCAGUGCAGCCCACAGGCCCCCAGCAGCCCAUGCACUCCAGGCUCUGACCACAAGGCCAGUCUAGAGGGAUGUGUGUGGGCAGAGUGAAGGGGCAGGGGUGGAGCAGAGCAUGGAUGCAUAGAACAAGAAAGAACAAGGACACUGCAGUCCCAUUGCCCUGGGAGUCAGCCCCAGCUUCAUGGCUCCUGGGGACCUCAGAGAACAUUGAUAGAAGAUCCUAGAAGAACCACAACCCGUGGCAGGUGGUUUUAUUUCCCUGGGUUUGAAGGAGGCUCCACAGACAAGAGACCAGAGGAGGCCGAGGUUUGGAAGCCACAGGGCCCCGUGGAAGGGGGGCAUCCCCCCAUCCUCCUCGUUCUUUAUCCUCACUUUAAAGUCCAAGGUCAAGCUGUGCACGAGACAGGUAAACAACCAUCUGAGUAAAGGUGAAUCUCCCAAGACUUCCAAGAAAUGCGUGAGUUCAGAGGCAAGCGGACAGGUGGGAGUGUGGGGGAAGCUGAGGCAUGGGAAUUCCAGGCAGAGGAGAGGCUUCUCAUAUGCUAGGGCCAUGGACCCCUCCUCCCUCCUCUGUGCCCAUGAGGAAUCCCCGUGACUGGCAGGUCCUCAGGCUACUAGCUCCACCCCUGCCCUCAGCAACCCUCAGGAGGUUCCCUUGACUAAGACUUUGUAUUGCACUCUAGUAACAACCUGUCGGACCCACACGGGGUGACACAGAAAAGAGGCGAGAAUGUGAGAUUAAUAGAGUGGUAGCAAGUGAAUACAAAAUCCCAGGCAGCAGUUUCACAUGAGGAGAAGAAGGAAACUUGAAAUAGCUGCAUGCGCUAAGGGCCAAUAAGUCCCUGAAAAAUAGGAUGAGGACCAAGCUGGCUACGACCAACCAGACACAACAUGGCGCUGUAUUUGAUGUAGGUUUCACCUAGGAUCUCAUUGUAUGAUCAGUAACAUAUGAAACCGUACACCCACCAGUGCCAAGACGGCUCCAGGAACACCUGUAUUUGGGUGUAAAUUGUGGCACCACGGUCUUGAGAAAUCUUUACCUUUUCCUGGACUCUUCAUGAAUAUACCCCUCUUUAGUUGAAGAAGCCCAUAAAGGUCAGCCCCACACCUUGUAGGGCAUGAGACACUCUCUUGAGGACCCCCACGUUCCUCUUCUUCAGUGAGUCCCUUUACUCUGCAGGAAAUCUGCCUACAUUCAUGACUUUUGCACUUGUCCUUAAAUUGUUUCUGGCUAAGGUGCCAAGAGCCUGGAGAAGGCCUGGCACGGUGGCUCACUCCUGUAAUCCCAGCACUUUGGGAGGCCGAGGCAGGCAGACCACCUGAAGUCGGGAGUUUGAGACCAGCCUGACCAACAUGGAGAAACCUUGUCUCUACUAAAAAUAGAAAAUUAGUCAAGCCUGGUGGCACACGCCUGUAAUCCCAGCUACUUGGGAGGCUGAGGCAGGAGAAUCGCUUGAACCCGGGAGGCGGAGGUUGCGGUGAGCCAAGAUCACGCCAUUGCACUCCAGCCUGGGCAACAAGAGUGAAACUCGGUCUCAAAAAAACAAAACAAAACAAAAAAAAGCGUGGAAACGGGCUGAGGUCGAUGUCCCACCGGUCUUUGAUGACCUCCCCUAGGCCACCAGUAUCUGGAGGGGAUUAGGGACACUGAGCUCCAGCAGGGCUAUCCAGUGUGCCUGCAGAAACAAGGUUGGUCACAGGCAGCCCAGGACAGGGAGUGGGGUAGGGAGGCUGGGGCCAAAGCCCACUCACGUCUUCUAAUUCCGAGUCUUCCACUAUUUCCCCCGUGCUCAUCCAUCACAGCCAGAUCAGGUCACCCAAAGCAGUGACGCCUCACAGCUACCAAGGCAUGGGGCCAGAGAGAGAGACAGAGUCAGGCAUCACAAGCCCCCUCCAGGCUCAGCCCUGAAUACCAAGAUCAGGACACGGCUGCCCCGGCCUGGAUUGCACAACUGGGCACCCUCUUCCCAAAGCUGGACCAGGCUGGGGCCGGGGGACUGCACUCAGCUAGGGCAUUGGCCCUCUAGGGGCAGAAGCUGCCCUGGUUCUUCCGGAAGGAACUCCUCUCACAGGCAGAUCACGUGGGCUCUUAGCCAACAGCCAGGGUUGGGGCAACACAAGGGCCCCGCUUCAUCCUGUCCCAGGCAGCAGGCAGGUAAGAGACAAGGAGGGAGAGGCAGCUGGCAGCAACCCCUCUAUGCAGCAGGCACUGUUCCGGGCAUUACACAGCUCCAUCCCGUGAGGCAGAGGUAUGAGGUAGAUGACAUUGAUGAAGAAGGCAAAGCGUGAGUGUCCAGGCCAGGGCAGGGCAUGGAGCCUGGGGGCAGCCUACCAGCUGGGAAGGAGCAUCCCCACCCGGCCACAGGUUGACACAAGCCCCUCUACCACCAGGAGACACACCGUGAGCUUGCGCCGGAUCAUCCCGCUGACCCGGUGGAAGGCCAACCCCGAGACAGACCCCGAGGCCUUGUUAGUCAAGGAGAAAACCAUGUUCUCAGGAUGCUGUGACCUUGGUGACAGCACGGCCAACACAGGAAGCCUGGGCAACACAGGCAGUUGGGCCCGGGUGACCACUACCACCAAUAUGCAGAGACUGGUAGUGGCCCCGAACGUCGGGCUGCGCUGUUAUUUAUUGGAUACAAGGCUGAAGGGUCAGGGUAAAGAAUGUGAGUCACCUCCAAUGAUAGGUAAGGUCACGUGGGUCACGUGUCCACUGGACAGGGGGCCCUUCCCUGCCUGGCAGCCGAGGCAGAGAGGGAGAGGAGACAAAGAGAAAGACAGCUUAUGCCAUUAUUUCUGCAUAUCAGGGACUAUUAGUAUUUUCACUAAUUUACCACUGCUAUCUAGAAGGCAGAGUCAGGUGUACAGGAUGAAACAUGAAGGUGGACUAGGAGUGUGACCACUGAAGCACAGCAUCACAGGGAGACGCUGGACCACGAUCCGCCUGGUAACGGGCAUCUUCCCAGAUGCUGGUGUCACCGCUAGACCAAGGAGCCCUCUGGUGGCCCUGUCCAGGCAUAACAGAAGGCUCGCACUCCUGUCUUCCGGUCACACCUCACUAUGUCCCUUCAGCUCCUAUCUGUGUAUGGCCUGGUUUUUCCUAGGCUAUGAUUAUUGAGCGAGGGUUAUUAUAAUAUUGGAAGAAAAAGUAAUUGCUACAAACUAAUGAUUAAUGAUAUUCAUAUAUAAUCAUAUCUAAGAUCUAUAUCUGGUAUAACUAUUCUUGUUUUAUAUUUUAUUAUACUGGAACAGAUCGUGUCCUCUGUCUCUUGCCUCGGUGCCUGGGUGGCUUGCCGCCCACAAUUCUCCUGACUCAGCCUCUUGAGUAGCUGGGAUUACAGGCGUGCGCCACCAUGCCUGGCUAAUUUUUUGUAUUUUUAGUAGAGACUGGGUUUCACCAUUUUGGUCUGGCUGGUCUCGAACUCCUGACCUCAAGUGAUCUGCUCACCUCGGCCUCUCAAAGUGGUGAGAUUACAGGUGUGAGCCACCAUGCCAGGCCAGUUUUAUUUUUUUAAAUACAGACAGGGUCUUGCUAUGUUGCCCAAGCUGGUCUCGAACUCCUAACCUCAAGGGAUCCUCUCGCCUCACCCUCCCAAAGUGUUAGGAUUACAGGCAUGAGCCACCACACCCGACGUACUUCAUUAUUUCUUAUGUGAACUUGGCUACAAUAACCCCCCACUCUGGUUUCCUCUGCUGCAAUUACCUAACCGUGAAGUGCAAGAUCCUCAGCUCCGGGUGUUCAACAGUCUCCAGGAUCCAAACUCAUUCCAAGUUGCUCAACAAAUACUCUGUGAACACCAAACUGCCUGUGGUUUCUCCCCUCUGGGCAUACCGUGGUGCUUUACACAUUGUCAACUCUACUCAGCUCUUCUGCCCCUGGAAUGACCUGUCCCCCAGUAUGUGCCUAACUCCAGAUCUUUUUUUUUAUUUUUUAUUUUUUAUUUUGAGACAGGGUCUCGCUGUGUUACCCAGGCUGGAGUGCAGUGGUACAAUCAUAGCUUACUGCAGUCUUGACCUCCUGGGCUCAGGAGAUCCUCCCACCUCAGCCUCCUGAGUAGCUGGGACUACAGGUGUGAGCCACCAUGACCAGCUCAUUUUUGUAUUUGUGGAGAUGAGGUUUCAUCGUCAUAUUGCCCAGGCUGGUCUCAAAUUCCUGAGCUCAAGCAAUCUACCCACCUUGGCCUCCCAAAGUGCUAGCAUUACAGGCAUGAGCCACUGGUGCCUGGCCCCAGCAAGACUUCCUUGAUCCCCACUCCCACACCUCCUCGCUGUGCUGAGUACCCAUGGGCUCUGAGAGCAUUUCUCAUCGAACUCUAGUUAAUGACUUGUCUAUUUAUCUAUCUAUCCCACUAGACUCUAAGUCCCUUUAGGACAGAAUCUCUGUUUUAUAUGGUUUUUUGGGUAUCUUCCACUAACACCUAGGACAGCACCUGGAAGACAGUUUCUUUUCUUUUCUUUUUUUUUUUCUUUUUGUGACGGAGUCUCCCUCUGUUGCCAGGCUGGAGUGCAGUGGCACGAUCUCAGCUCACUGCAACCUCCGCCUCCCGGGUUCCAGCAAUUGUCCUGCCUCAGUCUCCUGAGUAGCUGGGAUUACAGGCACCCGCCACCAUGCCUGGCUAAUUUUUGUAUUUUUAGUAGUGACGGGGUUUCACCAAGUUGGCCAGGAUGGUCUCAAUCUCUUGACCUAGUGAUCCGCCUGCCAAAGUGCUGGGAUUACAGGUGUGAGUUGUCGUGCCCGGCCGACAAUUUCUUAUCACAAGAAAUCUUCCCAAAAAAUCUCCAAAUGGGCUGGGCUUUAGACUGCUGGUAUACCCUCUUUCUUUUCCUGAGGGUAGAUGAGACUCACUCAUUGUAACCACUGUUUUUUAAAACAGUAUGCAAAUAUUCCUGCGGUUUUGUUCAUUUACAAAUCCCUGCCUGAAGCUUCUUUCUUUCCCAAUUCUACUUCCUGCUCUUUUUUUUUUUUUUUGAACCAGGGCCUCACUCUGUCACUCAGGCUGGUGUGCAGCGGUGCAAUCACAGCUUAUUGCAGCCUUGACCUCCCAGGCUUGCAAUCCUCCCAUCUCAGCUUCCUGAGCAGCUGGGACAACAGACGCUUGCCACUAUGCCCAGCUAAUUUAUUUUAUUUUUGUAGAGAUGGGGUCUCACUGUGUUGCGCAGGCUGGUCUGAAACUGCUGAGCUCUACCGAUCCUCUUGCCUCAGCCUCCCAAAAUGCUGGGAUUACAAGUGUGAGCCGGCUACUUCCCGCUCUUUUUUUUUUUUUUUUUUUUUUUUGAGACAGAGUCUCGCUCUGUCGCCCAGGCUGGAGUGCAGUGGCGUGAUAUCGGCUUAGUGCAACCUCCGCCUUCCGGGUUCAAGUGAUUCUCCUGCCUCAGCCUCCCAAGUAGCUGGAACUACAGGCUCGUACCACCAUGCCCUGCUAAUUUUUUUAUUUUUAGUGGAGACAGGGUUUCACCAUGUUAGCCAGGAUGGUCUCGAUCUCCCGACCUUGUGAUCCACCCGCCUCCACCUCCCAAAGUGUUGGGAUUACAGGCGUGAGCCACCGUGCCCGGCCUAAAUUUUGCACUGGACUGGACUAUAUAUAUUUGUGCCGAGCAAACAGUAAAACCGCUGAUUUGUUUUGAACCUUGGAGUAACCCUUGGAAACCUUCUCCUUCACUAUCAAUACCUUUGUGAUGUUAAAGUUCUUUUCACCAGGACUCCGCAGAAUGCUCACCUGAAAACAUUGGCUCUGAAUGUGGGAAUGAUUCCAUUAAGCCACUCACAGUCUACCAUCCUUAUUUUGCAAAUAGAAUCCCAAAUUUACAAAAUAAAUUGUCCCUUUGGCUGCAAAAUUUACAAAAUAAAUUCUGAUCAUUAAUAAGAGUUAAUAUAAUAAAGUCAGAAAUCAUUGAGAA